UCAAAUGCGAUGAAGGGAAAUAAAGUUUGUUUUAUUUUUUCAGAGAGCUGCCGUAAGGUGCAAGGCAGCAGGAUAAUUCAGAUCAUAGCUCCUCCCUGAGCAGUCGGCUGAAAGCUGCGGCGAUUAGGCUUGAACGGAAUUCUCCCGUUACAGAGAAGCACAUUAUUGGAUGAUGCGAAUGAGUGGGCAUAUUGUAUAUGUCAAUAAAGAGUGGUACCACGGAGAUAUAUUCUUCUUCGUCUCUUUU
rnacentral:ncRNA from 1 species